GAUGAGCGCUGGCGGCGUGCUUAACACAUGCAAGUCGAACGGACUUUGCUUGAAGCCUAGCGAAAGUAAAGUUAGUGGCGGACGGGUGAGUAACGCGUGGGUAACCUGCCCUAUACUGGGGGACAACAGUUGGAAACGACUGCUAAUACCGCAUAAGCACACAGUACCGCAUGGUACAGUGUGAAAAACUCCGGUGGUAUAGGAUGGACCCGCGUCUGAUUAGCUAGUUGGUGAGGUAACGGCUCACCAAGGCGACGAUCAGUAGCCGGCCUGAGAGGGUGAAACGGCCACAUUGGGACUGAGACACGGCCCAAACUCCUACGGGAGGCAGCAGUGGGGAAUAUUGCACAAUGGGGGAAA
rnacentral:rRNA from 1 species